ACGGACAACGCAGGAAACAACUUCUCCUCUGCCAUGCCCACGAAGGGUGGAUCCAAGAAUCCACAAGGACCGCCGCUUCAUCCGUAUGAAGAGGAGCACCUAAGACAAUGUAUGCAGAACAGUGCAAGGUUGCAGCAACUUGGAAUUCCUGGUUAUACUGCUUGUUUUGCAAGAGCAUCUGCAACUUAUAAAGACAAGAGCAAGAAACAUUAGAGAAGCAGAGAAGACUCUGAAUCCGACUAUGAGCCUUCACAAGAAGAUAGUGCUGAACAAGAUUUGGUUGAUGAUGACAUUUCUAAGGGCUCUAAGAGGAACAUCGGCAGAAAAACUAACAACCAAACCUCAGAUGCACCACCUAUUGGAGUGAGGUUUCGCGCUCGUAAGAGGGUGUAUGCCGAGAACCUCCCUACUGAAGCUCGAAGAUCAAAGAUAAUUAAUUUUAGGCCUGAUGCAAGUCUUCCACCAAGUGGCAACCAUGUCCCACCUCCAUCACACCCUGAUGUGAGCCAACAAGUUGAUCGAC